CGGAAAGUCGGGAUUUUCCAAUCUGGCAACGCCGUAAUCGGCCAUUUUAGAUUUCAUUAAUUUUUCCCUGUGUAAAUUCCCAUAAGGAAUCGGGGUACCUUUAGUUUAAAUUAAUUUGUUAAUUAUUGGUGUCUUACAGCCAAUUUAUUUUUCAUCGAUCGUGUUCCCCGAUUAAUGGUUCCUGAUGAGGGCAUCAACAACAAAGGAAACUGGGUUUACUGAUUCGAGUUUUUCAAUUGAUUUACGCAUUAAUGUUUGUCUAUUGUUAAGUUUAAUCGCAAAGAGGGACUGAAAAAUUCCUUUAAAAGUAUUUGGGGUAAAUUAGUUUAAAAUGUACUAAUUCAACUUGAUUUCUUCAACAUUUUGUUCCAUACUCUGACGUUUUCACCAUAUUACCUGAUUCAUUAGCGUUAUUUCGUUAGUAUUUUAAGAAAACUCACAGUUCUUUUUUCGAGUGAAACAUUGUAUUAAACAUGAAAUAAAGUUUUUAAUAAAAAUACUGAAGACGUGA